AUGGAGGCCACCAUCCUCCUUACAAUGGUGCUCACCACCUUCCUACUCUUCCUCUUUCUCAGAGCCACCUUUCACCGCGGCCAGAAGUACAACCUCCCUCCGGGUCCAAAACCUUGGCCUGUCAUCGGCAACUUCGACCUCAUCGGUGCACUCCCGCACCGCUCCAUCCACGAGUUAUCCAAGAAGUACGGCCCACUCAUGCACCUUCGCUUCGGCUCAUUCCCUCUCAUCAUCGGUUCGUCAGUGGACAUGGCAAGGUACUUCCUCAAGACCCAGGACAUCCUCUAUGUCGACCGCCCCAAGACGGCUUCCGGUAAAUACACCACCUACAACUACGCUGACAUGACAUGGUCACCCUAUGGGGCCUACUGGCGCCAAGCACGCCGGAUCUGCCUCACCCAGCUCUUCAACCCACGUCGUCUCGCCUUGUUGGAGCACAUCCGUGCCGACGAGGUCAAAGCUCUCAUGUGCGACCUCUUUGCAGUGUCCGGCCAUGCCGUGCAUCUUAGCAGGGACCACAUGUCCAUGGUGAGCAUGAAUGUGAUCACACGGAUGGUGAUGGGGAAGCGACUCUUCGUGGACGGCGUGGCGGAGGGGCCGGUGCCGUCUCUGAAGGUGUUCAGGUGGAUGCUAGAUGAGCUAUUCCUGCUCAACGGUGUGCUCAACAUCGGCGACUGGAUCCCAUGGCUGGACUGGAUGGACCUGCAGGGAUAUGUGCGACGGAUGAAGAAGAUAGGCAAGUUGUUUGAUGCAUUCAAUGAGCAUGUCCUUGACGAGCAUAGCGGCGAGCGGGGCCGCGGCGAGGGUGAAGCGGCUAGGGACAUGGUGGAUGUGCUUAUGGAGAAGGCCAACGACAACGCCCUCGAGGUCCAGUAUGGCCGCAUCGGCGUCAAGGCCUUCACCCAAGACCUCAUCGCCGGCGGCACUGAGAGCUCAGCCGUCACCGUGGAAUGGGCCAUGUCGGAGCUCAUGAGGAGGCCCGCCACCUUCGAUGUAGCCACCGAGGAGCUCGACCGUGUCGUCGGUCGUGCCCGCUGGGUAACCGAGAAGGACAUGCCAAACCUGCCCUACAUUGAAGCAAUCGUGAAAGAAUCCAUGCGCAUGCAUCCUAUCGUGCCUCUCCUCACCCCGCGUUUGGCCCGAGAGGACGCCACCAUUGAUGGCUAUGACAUCCCUAAGGGUGCACGUGUGCUCAUCAAUGUGUGGGCCAUUGGACGGGACCCGGAGUUGUGGGACGCCCCAGAGGAGUUCAAGCCAGAGAGGUUCCUGGGGAGCAAGAUGGGUGUGAUAGGGCAGGACCUCGAGCUGCUACCGUUCGGUUCUGGCAGACGAAUGUGCCCAGGCUACAAUCUCGGGCUAAAGGUGGUGCACCUAAGCUUGGCAAACCUGCUGCACGGGUUCACUUGGAGGCUGCCAGAGGGGGUGAGGAAGGAGGAUCUGAGCAUGGAGGAGGUGUUUGGGUUGUCCACCGGCCGCAAAUACCCACUCCAGGUCGUCGCCAAGCCCAAGCUACCUAAUCAUCUAUAUGUUUGA
rnacentral:rRNA from 1 species